rnacentral:rRNA from 1 species
AUUGAACGCUGGCGGCAGGCCUAACACAUGCAAGUCGAACGGAGUGGCGGACGGGUGAGUAACGCGUAAUCAACCUGCCCUUCAGAGGGGGACAACAGUUGGAAACGACUGCUAAUACCGCAUACUGAAGGAGGGGAUUGCGUCUGAUUAGCUAGUUGGAGGGGUAACGGCCCACCAAGGCGAUGAUCAGUAGCCGGUCGGAGAGGAUGAACGGCCACAUUGGGACUGAGACACGGUCCAAACUCCUACGGGAGGCAGCAGUGAGGAAUAUUGGUCAAUGGGCGUUAGCCUGAACCAGCCAAGUAGCGUGAAGGAUGAAGGUCUAUGGGUCGUAAACUUCUUUUAUAUAAGAAUAUGUAUUAUAUGAAUAAGGAUCGGCUAACUCCGUGCCAGCAGCCGCGGUAAUAC